rnacentral:lncRNA from 1 species
GGGUGGUCAGAGAAGGCUUGAGGGCCGUACAAAUCCGUACGAGUCCUUCGAAGCGCUUGGUGUUCAGUGCUAGCAAGAAGACGAGAAUUGCUGGGAAACCGUCUGGCUUGCCAAAAUACUUUGCAGCGUAGGGUGGGGAAUUUCUUGUUUUGGUCUGUUUUUACCUGCAUCGUUUGUGGAUAAACUGUAACGCAGUUGACAGCUAAGCACAAAUUCUGUGGGAGUGUUUCUGUGAGUUGGGAGAAAGGUCAAGCUGGAUCCAGCUUAAGGUGUGAACAAAAGCGGCCCUUGGGCUGAGGCUUCACAAAGGAAGGUUUGGUCUGGAGGUUUUAAUGGCACAGGCGAAGAAAAAGAGCUUUGGAAAAGAGCUUUUAUCAUGGAAACCAAGUAUCUGUAAGAAUUAACUAAACCAGCAUCAUUUAAAAAAAAAAAGUUUCUGAGAAUGCAGAAAUGCUUUCUUCUUCGUUUCCUCUCAAGUGAGAACAAGUUUAAAACUCCAGAACUGAGCUGUACUAUAGAGCAAGAAAACUCCCUGUACUCCUCCRAACACUUCCUGACUGCAGACAGAGUGGUGGUAAGUCAUUUAGCUCAUCUGUAGCUUUCAUAUGUCUGAAAUAUAUAUGUAURCAUUGGGGCUCAGCCCUAAUAAAGUGACCUUUUUGUGGAAGAUAUCUUGCAUAUUUUCUUUGUCACAGAUGUUUAUCAGUUUGUCCUGACAAAAUGAUGAAUGGCGAUUAGUUGAAACAGCCUGGCUACUUGCUUUGGUGUUGGUUCUGCUAUGUGUGUGCCCUGCUCAAAUGCAGAACAGCCUCCAUGCAGGUGGAAGCAUCUCAAACAACUUCAUCCAGGACAGAAACAAAUAAAGAAGAGGAAAUCCUGAAGAGCCUUGUGGACAUGCUGCGGCAUGUAAUGCAAGGUGUUCCCACGCAGGGCCCACCACCAAAGCAUACAGCCAUUAUACCCCCAGAAGGGCAGAAUUCUUUUAAUGAUACACUAGAUUCUCUUUGGUUAAAAAUAUACAGAAAGCAUGUUAAAAAGCAAAAAAACCUUAAAAGCUUUGCAAUUACAGGAAGAUCUAUUCCUUCUACAACUCCAUCGUUUUUGACACUCCAGGCUGAGCCAGAUGUUUCUGUUGUGUUGCGUGCUUAUGAAUCUACACAGUUGAAAGCACCACUGAAAAAGCUAGCCUUAAUAUUUCAGACUGUUGCUACAAAAAAAGAAAAAUAAAUAAGUCUUUUGAUGAGUUAAUAAAUGAGCUUAGCGAAAACUUUAAAGAAUAUUA